rnacentral:rRNA from 1 species
UACGAGGGGGGCAAGCGUUGUUCGGAAUUAUUGGGCGUAAAGAGUUCGUAGGCGGUUACUUAAGUCUGGUGUUAAAGACGGGAGCUCAACUCCCGCAUGGCAUCGGAAACUGGGUGGCUAGAGUGUGGUAGAGGUCUCGGGAAUUCCAGGUGUAGCGGUGAAAUGCGUAGAUAUCUGGAGGAACACCGGUGGCGAAAGCGCGAGACUGGGCCAUAACUGACGCUGAGGAACGAAAGCCAGGGGAGCGAAAGGG